rnacentral:lncRNA from 1 species
GAAAGACUUGGAGGAGGAGGGGCGGGCUCGGGGCAGCUGGGAGCCAGGUCUAGCAGCAGGUUGCUGGCGGCCUGGGAGCAAACCCGAAAGGAUGGGCUGGAGCUGCUAGGAAAGGUCUUGGCCCCACCCUCAAUCUGUACAUUGAAGUCGAAGCCCCAGGACACCUCUGAAUGUGUCCGCAUUUGCAGGCACAGCCUUUAGGCAGGACAUCAGGGUUGAGGGAGGUCCUGUGCUGGGCCCUAUUCAAUAUGAAUGCUGUCCCACAGAAAGAAAGAGACCACUCUGGGAGGCUGAGGCAGGAGGGUCACAAGUUUAAGCUCAGCUUGGGCAAGUUGGUGAUGUAGCAAGACCUUGUCUGAAAAUGAAAAGUGAAAAAAAAGGAGGCCCUGGGUUCAAUGCUGAGAGAGAGAGAGAGAGAGAGAGAGAGAGAGAGAGAGAGAGAGAGAGAGAGAGAGAGAAUAUUCACACACAGAAAAAACACUAGGUGAAGAGCCAGCAAGGGGCAGCCAUGUGUAAGCUCACAGAGAGGCCUCACAAGAGCCACCCUGCCCGUGUCUUGGCCUUGGCCUUCCGGCUUCCAAAACGCCUCUAACCUGGCUCUGACCAGGAGAUAACAGCGUGUAAACCUCAGAUGAGGGGUAUUCUACAGCACAACUGAGCGGCACUUCUCAAAACUGUCAAAGGCAUAGGAGACAGGGAAGUCUGAGAAACUUUCGGGCCAAGAGGAGCCAAAGGAGAGACAGUGACUAAAGUGAUUGAGGCAAGAGGAUCACAAGUUCAAGGCUAACCUGGGCAACACAGCAAGACCUUGUCUCCAAGUAAAAGGGCAAGAAAUAAAAAGUAAUAGAAGUCUC